UACGUAGGCAGCGAGCGUUGUUCGGGGUUACUGGGCGUAAAGGGUGUGUAGGCGGUUGUUUAAGUUUGGUGUGAAAUCUCCCGGCUCAACUGGGAGGGUGCGCCGAAUACUGAAUGACUUCGAGUGCGGGAGAGGAAAGUGGAAUUCCUGGUGUAGCGGUGAGAUGCGUAGAUAUCAGGAGGAACACCGGUGGUGUAGACGGCUUUCUGGACCGUAACUGACGCUGAGACACGAAAGCGUGGGUAGCAAACAGG
rnacentral:rRNA from 1 species